rfam:Myotis lucifugus cont2.48370, whole genome shotgun sequence.
GGCGGUACUCGGGUGAUGCACCCCAAAAUCGGGCUCCCUCCUCUCUGGUUCCAGAUGCGUCACCCGAGAACCACA